rnacentral:rRNA from 1 species
GACGAACGCUGGCGGCGUGCUUAACACAUGCAAGUCGAGCGAGGGGAAGCGACAGCAAUGGAGUUUACUCGAGCGGCGGACGGGUGAGUAACGCGUGAGCAAUCUGUCCUUGACGGCGGGAUACCAAUUGGAAACAGUUGUUAAUACCGCAUAGGACCACAGUGCCGCAUGGCACAGGGGUGAAAGGAGGAAUCCGGUCAGGGGGGAACUCGCGUCCUAUUAGGUAGUUGGUGAGGUAACGGCCCACCAAGCCAGCGAUAGGUAGCCGACCUGAGAGGGUGAUCGGCCACACUGGAAUUGAGAGACGGUCCAGACUCCUACGGGAGGCAGCAGUGGGGAAUAUUGGGCAAUGGGCGAAAGCCUGACCCAGCAACGCCGCGUGAGGGAAGAAGGUUUUCGGAUUGUAAACCUCUGUCCCAAGAGAAGAGGGAAAGACGGUAUCUUGGGAGGAAGCCCCGGCUAACUACGUGCCAGCAGCCGCGGUAAUACGUAGGGGGCGAGCGUUGUCCGGAAUGAUUGGGCGUAAAGGGCGCGUAGGCGGCUAUUUAAGUCUGGAGUGAAAGUCCUGCUUUCAAGGUGGGAAUUGCUUUGGAAACUGGAUGGCUUGAGUGCAGGAGAGGUUAUCGGAAUUCCCGGUGUAGCGGUGAAAUGCGUAGAGAUCGGGAGGAACACCAGUGGCGAAGGCGGGUAACUGGACUGCAACUGACGCUGAGGCGCGAAAGUGUGGGGAGCAAACAGGAUUAGAUACCCUGGUAGUCCACACUGUAAACGAUGAAUGCUAGGUGUAGGGGGUAUCGACCCCUUCUGUGCCGGAGUAAACACAAUAAGCAUUCCGCCUGGGGAGUACGGCCGCAAGGUUGAAACUCAAAGGAAUUGACGGGGGCCCGCACAAGCAGCGGAGCAUGUGGUUUAAUUCGAAGCAACGCGAAGAACCUUACCAGGUCUUGACAUCCAGUUAAGACUGCUGAGAGACAGAGAGCCUUCGGGCAAACUGAGACAGGUGGUGCAUGGUUGUCGUCAGCUCGUGUCGUGAGAUGUUGGGUUAAGUCCCGCAACGAGCGCAACCCUUGUCAUUAGUUGCUACAUUCAGUUGGGCACUCUAAUGAGACUGCCGGUGACAAGCCGGAGGAAGGUGGGGAUGACGUCAAGUCCUCAUGGCCCUUAUAGGUGGGGCUACACACGUCAUACAAUGGCUGGUACAAAGGGUUGCCAACCCGCGAGGGGGAGCCAAUCCCAUAAAGCCAGUCGUAGUCCGGAUCGUAGUCUGCAACUCGACUACGUGAAGUCGGAAUCGCUAGUAAUCGUGGAUCAGAAUGUCACGGUGAAUACGUUCCCGGGUCUUGUACACACCGCCCGUCACACCAUGGGAGCGGGUUCUGCCAGAAGUAGUUAGCCUAACCGCAAGGAGGGCGAUUACCACGGCAGGGUUCGUGACUGGGGUGAAGUCGUAACAAGGUAGCCGUAUCGGAAGG